rnacentral:rRNA from 1 species
CGCGUAGGUGGCUUGGCGCGCGUGCGGUGAAAGCCCGGGGCUUAACCCCGGGUCUGCCGUGCGGACGGCCAGGCUAGGGCACUGUAGAGGCAGGUAGAAUUCCGGGUGUAGCGGUGGAAUGCGUAGAGAUCCGGAAGAAUACCGGUGGCGAAGGCGGCCUGCUGGGCAGUUGCCGACACUGAGGCGCGACAGCGUGGGGAAGCAAACA